ensembl:snRNA U6 U6 spliceosomal RNA
GUGCUCUCUUUGGUAGCACACAUACUAAAAUUGGAAUGAUAUAGAGAAGACUAGCAUGGCCCCUGCAUAAGGAUGACUUGCAAAUUUGUGAAGCGUUCUGUAUUUUU